AUUCAACAUGCUUCCAUUCAUUGUUUUUUCAUAUAAAUACAUCCAGGAUUCUUAAUGAACCUUGCAAGUCGGACUACAAAACUUUGUGAGAGAUUUUGUGCCAAGUGCACUACUUUGGCAUUCUUGAUGAAUGGUGAACCUGAAAUAGUCAAGAAUUUUCUUAUGUAAACCUUACACCUCCAAUUAUGGUAGAAGCAGAUUGACUAGUUCAAGUUAGGGGUAGUACAAUAUGGAGUCCACCGAUCUCAUCAUCUUGCAAAAGUUUUGGCGAGCCUCUAUCAGAAUGUUGAUUGAUUGCUUCAUUAACAAAGUCUUGGCGACCCUCUAUCAGAUGUUGACUGAUUGCUUCAUCAACUCAUGUUCUAAAGACUUGAAUAUACAAGUGAAGAUGCAUAUUUGAAGACUUCAUACAAGUUAACAAGUUGAUUAUCCUUUUGGUAGAACUGCAGGCAAGAUGUUACCUUAUUCUCCAACGAUGUUAUUUUUUGCUAUGGAAGUUGAUUAUUUUUCUAAGGGGUUGUGUAAACAUCACAGUGACUUAUACAAUGUUGCCAUCGAUGCGUUAAUUCAUUUUUUGUAAUUGAUGAUAUAUAUAAAAUUUGAAUGUCAUUGAUAAUUUUGUUGAUA